rnacentral:rRNA from 1 species
UACGUAGGGUGCGAGCGUUGUCCGGAAUUACUGGGCGUAAAGAGCUCGUAGGUGGUUUGUCGCGUUGUUCGUGAAAACUCACAACUCAAUUGUGGGCGUGCGGGCGAUACGGGCAGACUGGAGUACUGCAGGGGAGACUGGAAUUCCUGGUGUAGCGGUGGAAUGCGCAGAUAUCAGGAGGAACACCGAUGGCGAAGGCAGGUCUCUGGGCAUUAACUGACGCUGAGGAGCGAAAGCGUGGGGAGCGAACAGG